GAACAAAAUUGAGUAGACUAUUGAUUCCAAAAUGCCCUCAGCAUACUCAUCAUGAUGUGCAUAACUACUACUAUAUCCCUUUAUUUACAUAUGAUUUACUGAAUCCUCAAGAACAUGGAAAGCCAAUGAGAAAACCAGGUCUCAACAUCUUAGCAUACCUGUGACUUGAAAGAGCAAAGAUAGUCCUGAAUCAUUUUUAGGUUGCUUAUUAGCUUAUCUUUGUCCUGAAAGGAAAAACAAAAGCAGAAAUAUGUUAGAAAAUUUAGGUUAUUUAACUUAUAAAAAAAAUGAUUUGAUUUUGCAGGAUCAGUUUGAUCUACAAGGCAAUUCGAGUGAUGUAGCAAGGACUUUGAACACAGUUUGGUCGGCGAUUAAGUACCUUCACCUAUAGGUUGCACAAACAAUACAAGCAACUUAAGGAUGCAAGAGGGGAGGAGUACGCGAGAAGCCACCCACCUGCAAGUGUUACUCUUAAUCAGUGGACAUCUCUAAUUGACAAGAAAUGGAAUAGUACAGAAUUCAUGGAUGCAAACGAAAACAAAACAUAGAUGUGGAUCAAAAUCAAUCCCGGUCAGGGUGCAUAGCUCGAUAAUUGCAAGUGGAAAAGUGCCCGAAUUGGCAGAAUUUUACAAGGCCAUCCACUACAAUUCGAACACGCAUGAAUGGAUUUCGUCAGAGAGCCAAGCUAAUUAUGUAUCUACAGGGCUAUGCAUAUUAAUUUUGAUAAAAUUAUUUAUUUUUCUUUGUAGGGUAGAACAACUAAUAAUUGUUCGAUUUAUUUUAAAGUAACAGGACAACAUGAUACAGACACAAGCAAAACAUCUCUCGCAGACUGGUGCGAUCCCUUUGAGCUCAGAGGAGUUGUCAGUCAAGGUGCUUAAGCCAAGGUUAGGUUAUGUGAAAGGACUCGGCAUGAGGCCUUCUUCUUCUAUGAAGACUGUUGUUGCACCUGCUGAAAAUAGUAACUAUGUUCAACGCCUUGAAAUGCAAAUAGCACAGCAAAAUGAACAAAGUGCAAGGUUUCAAAAGUCAGAGAAGCAACAAAGCAAGAAGAUACAAAGUAUCAUAGAGUGUUUGAGGCAUAAAGGUAUCACGGGAAAUUUUGAGAGUGGGAAAAGUUCAGAUUCUGAUGGACAAGCUUCUUGAUUGGAGAUGAACGAAUUUGGUAACCUGCAAAGCAAGAGUUUUUUGUUGAUAUUACUAGACACAUAUCCAUCACAGUGUAGUUGUACUUUUUGUUGACAUUACCAAACAUGUAUUUUGACUAUGUUUGUUGUGGGUUAUGAUUAUAUUGUGAUGGAUCUUAUCUUUUUGUUGAUAUUUUAUUGAAUAGAUUAAAAUGAGCAGGUUUUUGUUGAUAUUACUAGAUGAACAAGCUUUUGUAAUGAUUUGUAAUGGAUAUUAUAUUCAGCAGGUUAUUAAA